rnacentral:rRNA from 1 species
CGGGACACGUGGUAUCCUGUCUGAAUAUGGGGGGACCAUCCUCCAAGGCUAAAUACUCCUGACUGACCGAUAGUGAACCAGUACCGUGAGGGAAAGGCGAAAAGAACCCCGGCGAGGGGAGUGAAAAAGAACCUGAAACCGUGUACGUACAAGCAGUGGGAGCCUCUUAAUGGGGUGACUGCGUACCUUUUGUAUAAUGGGUCAGCGACUUAUAUUCUGUAGCAAGGUUAACCGAAUAGGGGAGCCGAAGGGAAACCGAGUCUUAACUGGGCGUUAAGUUGCAGGGUAUAGACCCGAAACCCGGUGAUCUAGCCAUGGGCAGGUUGAAGGUUGGGUAACACUAACUGGAGGACCGAACCGACUAAUGUUGAAAAAUUAGCGGAUGACUUGUGGCUGGGGGUGAAAGGCCAAUCAAACCGGGAGAUAGCUGGUUCUCCCCGAAAGCUAUUUAGGUAGCGCCUCGUGAAUUCAUCUCCGGGGGUAGAGCACUGUUUCGGCAAGGGGGUCAUCCCGACUUACCAACCCGAUGCAAACUGCGAAUACCGGAGAAUGUUAUCACGGGAGACACACGGCGGGUGCUAACGUCCGUCGUGAAGAGGGAAACAACCCAGACCGCCAGCUAAGGUCCCAAAGUCAUGGUUAAGUGGGAAACGAUGUGGGAAGGCCCAGACAGCCAGGAUGUUGGCUUAGAAGCAGCCAUCAUUUAAAGAAAGCGUAAUAGCUCACUGGUCGAGUCGGCCUGCGCGGAAGAUGUAACGGGGCUAAACCAUGCACCGAAGCUGCGGCAGCGACGCUUAUGCGUUGUUGGGUAGGGGAGCGUUCUGUAAGCCUGUGAAGGUGUACUGUGAGGUAUGCUGGAGGUAUCAGAAGUGCGAAUGCUGACAUAAGUAACGAUAAAGCGGGUGAAAAGCCCGCUCGCCGGAAGACCAAGGGUUCCUGUCCAACGUUAAUCGGGGCAGGGUGAGUCGACCCCUAAGGCGAGGCCGAAAGGCGUAGUCGAUGGGAAACAGGUUAAUAUUCCUGUACUUGGUGUUACUGCGAAGGGGGGACGGAGAAGGCUAUGUUGGCCGGGCGACGGUUGUCCCGGUUUAAGCGUGUAGGCUGGUUUUCCAGGCAAAUCCGGAAAACUAAGGCUGAGGCGUGAUGACGAGGCACUACGGUGCUGAAGCAACAAAUGCCCUGCUUCCAGGAAAAGCCUCUAAGCAUCAGGUAACAUUAAAUCGUACCCCAAACCGAC